CACCACUCAAGCCUGGCUUGGUAUUGGGCGAUGCGGCACCCGCACGCCUCGAUUUCGCCGGCUGGACGACCCGCAUCUCAGCGUUGUGAAUCAAUCUCGCUGCGGAGGGGGGCGACCCGGCCGUUAAAACCACACAAGG
rnacentral:misc_RNA from 1 species